ensembl:misc_RNA Y_RNA Y RNA
GGCCAGUCCAAGUGCAGUGGUGUUUACAACUAAUUGAUCAUAAUCAGUUACAGAGUUAUUAGUUCCUUCUCCACUUCCACUGCUUCACUUGACAAACCUAUA